AUUGAACGCUGGCGGCAGGCCUAACACAUGCAAGUCGAACGAGUGGCGGACGGGUGAGUAAUGUCUGGGAAACUGCCUGAUGGAGGGGGAUAACUACUGGAAACGGUAGCUAAUACCGCAUACCAUCAGAUUUGCCCAGAUGGGAUUCGCUUGUUGGUGGGGUAACGGCUCACCAGGGCGACGAUCCCUAGCUGGUCUGCGAGGAUGACCAGCCACACGGGAACUGAGACACGGUGGAUAGUCCUACGGGAGGCAGCAGUGGGUAAUAUUGCACAAUGGGCGCAAGCCAGAUGCAGCCAUGCCGCGUGUAUGAAGAAGGUCUUCGGGUUGUAAAGUACUUUCAGCGGGGAGGCGUUACCCGCAGAAGAAGCACCGGCUAACUCCGUGCCAGCAGCCGCGGUAAUGC
rnacentral:rRNA from 1 species